GCGCCCUUAGCUCAAUUGGAUAGAGCAUCUGACUACGGAUCAGAAGGUUGGGGGUUCGACUCCCUUAGGGCGUG
rnacentral:tRNA from 1 species